rnacentral:lncRNA from 1 species
GUGAACCCAGAAAGUUGAAGAGGAGAAAAAAGGUGAGGGUGGAGAAACCUCGUGAGAAGAGAGGGAAAACUAGAGAGACAGAGACAGAGACGUGGAGAGAGAGAGAAAGGCAGAUGUAGCCACUAAGGAAAACGCGCGGAGGAAAACGCUGUCACCUGCUGACGCCGGACCACACCACCGCAGGUCGUGGCUGGCCGGCUGUGCUCACGGUGCGGUGUGUAGGCGCCGUGGCCGCUUCGGUUGGAACCCGAUUGAUAAUCGAGAGGACUCUGCGUCCGGGAGAGAAGUCUGCAACUCCUGGUGAUUGUACUCUCUGGGCUGGGAGCUCUCCCUUCGGCGAGGCGGCGCUUGGAGCACCGCACGAGGAGGGUUCUGCGGUCAGAGGCGCCGAGACUCCGCCCGGGCCCCUGGUGCCCGGAGCGCGCAGCGCCCCCAGGGUGGAGGCCAAGAGGGCGCGGCGCUGAGGCUCCCGACAGCGCCAGGAGGACAGGCGGGGAAACCUCCAGGUGAGCGCCUCUGUCCAAGAGGACCUUCUCCUGCACCGAAAUGGGGCGCUUAUAUCGAUUUUCUUCGGACCAGCCCUCGUCGCGUCAUAGGUGAGGGGAUUCCCCUACGCCGUCCCUGCGGGGGCCACCAGGAGGCGCCCUGGCCCUUCCACUCAAAGGGCUUACAAAGGACAAGGUCUCCCGCGGUGUUCAAGGUCCCUAGAUUUUGAGGGUCAGAUUUAGCCUCGUGGAACCCGAGGUUGCCUGUUUGGGGUCACCCCGGCCACCGAGUCGCCUUGGAUCAGCCCGUCCUACCCAGGCUGGAGGACGGGCUGUGGACGCUCAGCCACUCAGCGGGGGCCACCUCACUCCGCCUCCCCAGCGGGACCCCAAAGGGUCCGGACCAGAGAGACGCGCAUCCCUUCCGCCCUCAGCCUGUGGAAGCCGGUUCCUAUGUUGGCCUGGACGGGGCGGGGCGACCCCAGGAAGUCCGAGUCCUGUUCUGAGGGUCAUCGGAGCUCCCGGGACAGUGCGAAGAGGACAACGGCAAAGGAAAGGAAAAGGACACUUUUUUUUUUCCUGACAGGAUUUUGCCCCAGGGCAGGAAACUCUAGUACUGCGGGCGGAGGAGGUGGAUUUGGGGGAGGCCUAAAAGCCCCUCCCUGCCGCCGCUCCAGAAGGACUUGAUCUCACCCCCACGGAGCGGCCUGGAGAGCCCGGCAGAGCGCGGGCAGGCGGGGCGACCCCUCCGUCGAGGACGGGCCGCCCUCGGGCCGCGAGGCCGUCGGAGCCCGUCCUCGGGGCGGGGCUCAGGAGGCCGGGCCGCCUCCGGGAGAACGCGCGGCCCCGCCGGGGCUCCGUGGGCGCUGGGUGUGCUCUGGCUGCGGCCUCCAGCCCCCGCCCCGGCUCCGGACGCUCGCUCCAGGCCCGGCCAUCCCUUACCCCACAGCCCAAAGGGAGGUUCUCCUCUGGAACGCAAAGUGGCGCCUCACAGACGGAGUUGACGGGACGUGGUGUCCCGCUCCGCGUCCCCUCCCGUCCCGCUGUCGGAGAGAAAAGUUCCGACCUGGGAAGGAAGCUCCACGGGCCCGCGCUGCCCCGGGUCUCCGCGUGACUCUUGCUCCCUCCACCCUUUGCAUCUCGCAGCCGCGUCCCCUGCCCUCUGCCACCUUCUCCUCAGGAGUCCGGGACACAGGGAGGUGACAGAGCCUGGGGCGCCCCCGAUGGCCUCGUGCAGCUCUGCGGGUCGCUGGCCAUCCGAGGCCUGGGCCCGGCGCCAGAGGGGUAGUGCCAGUCCCUCAUCAGGGUCACCCUCGGGCCUCGGGAGUAGAGGCAGUGGCUGUGUCCAUUCAAUCCUGCACCUCGAGGGGCCUUCGCAGGGCAAGUCUUGUCAUCGGACCUCCUGUCUCUCUGCAGAAAGAGCAAUCCUAGCCAGAGAAUCCAGCGUCUGUGGAGAGCAGGAGUUCCUGAUUCACCUGGGCCCAGGCUUUGGAAAUGCUUGCAGAUCUUUGUGUCAAGGCUAGACUAUUUGAAUGUAACUUUUUUGGUUAUAUUUGAGUUGCAAACCACAUUUGUUUUUACAUAAUUAUAAAACUAAAUUAAAUUUAAAAAAUUUUGCCUCUAGACAUUGAAAACACAAUGUAAUGAAUGAACCUGUUGUAUCCCUGUUGUGGAACAACCAUAUGGAUUAGAACUAUUCCUAGAGACUUUAAGACACAAUAAUUUAUUCAUAUACCAAGGCAGCGACAAAUUAAAAAACCAUUUUCCUCAAUUGGGUUGUUAGUGGUAUUGUUGUUAUUGUCUUUAUUCUUUUGUUUAUAUAAUGUGCGACAGAGUAAAUGAGACAUUUUGGGAUAUUCUAAUUCUAUUACUCCCCCGUCCUCAAAAACAACAGUGCUUGGUAUUAGAGAAAGGAGAUUCAGAUGAAAGAUACACAUUCAAUAAAAACCCUGUAGAUCUGAAUUUGCAUUGGCAGUGUUUAUGUAUAUAUGUAAUUACAUGAAUGCAUAUGAAUAUGCAUAUGCAUUUUCUAGUUCUGUCCACAGGAAAGGCCUAGCAAUAAGCCAGUUGCAAUGAGGACCUCUAGUAUACACAUUUUGAUCUGGGAAUACUGUUUCUCACAAAAAGAAAUCAGAGAUUCUUAGAGAAAUGGCUGAGUCCAGGUCAGGGGCAGUAAAUAUUCAAGAUGAGACAGAAACACCUUGUCUUACUGAUACCAGAAAAGGUCUCAAAUAGUAAUCUUAAAAGGAGUAAGGAACAACUUGAAGUCACCAUCUUCACUGCUGAAAGAGAGGAUAAAUUGAAGCAUCAGUAAUGACCAUAUUGCAAUGGACUGAACUACUUCCAUGUGUUUGGAUCAUUGAGUUCAUAUUAAUAUAGGAAAAAAAGAAAAAGAACUAAUUGAUGACCGCAGAGGAUGCUAGGGGACGAGCUCAUGUAGCUGCAGUUUUCUUUAGAAACUGUACCACUAAGUAAUUAAAUAAUAUUUAGGGGAAGUGUCUCUAUAGGUGUUCCAGGUAAUAAUAUGUGAUGAUGGAUCACCAUUUUAUUCCAUAUAAUCAAUCAAUGGAUCUGGGCCUUGAGCAUAAAGGACUGCUCACAUCAUUAGAAGAUACACACAGGACAAUGUGCCUCUUGAUGGAAAAGCACACACCAUUUUUGAGGAAGUCUUGCCAACAAAUCAAACAUGAGUCAAGUCAGUCUCUACAUCUGCCAG